rnacentral:rRNA from 1 species
UACGGAGGGGGCUAGCGUUGUUCGGAAUUACUGGGCGUAAAGGGCUCGUAGGUGGCCAACUAAGUCAGACGUGAAAUCCCCAGGCUCAACUUGGGAACUGCGUCUGAUACUGGAUGGCUUGAAUCCGGGAGAGGGAUGCAGAAUUCCAGGUGUAGCGGUGAAAUGCGUAGAUAUCUGGAGGAAUACCGGUGGCGAAGGCGGCAUCCUGGACCGGGAUUGACACUGAGGAGCGAAAGCUAGGGGAGCAAACGGG